UGGGGAAUUUUGGACAAUGGGCGAAAGCCUGAUCCAGCAAUGCCGCGUGUGUGAAGAAGGCCUUCGGGUUGUAAAGCACUUUUGUCCGGAAAGAAAUCCUUGGCUCUAAUACAGUCGGGGGAUGACGGUACCGGAAGAAUAAGCACCGGCUAACUACGUGCCAGCAGCCGCGGUAAUACGUAGGGUGCAAGCGUUAAUCGGAAUUACUGGGCGUAAAGCGUGCGCAGGCGGUUUGCUAAGACCGAUGUGAAAUCCCCGGGCUCAACCUGGGGACUGCAUUGGUGACUGGCAGGCUAGAGUAUGGCAGAGGGGGGUAGAAUUCCACGUGUAGCAGUGAAAUGCGUAGAGAUGUGGAGGAAUACCGAUGGCGAAGGCAGCCCCCUGGGCCAGUACUGACGCUCAUGCACGAAAGCGUGGGGAGCAAACAGGAUUAGAUACCCUGGUAGUCCACGCCCUAAACGAUGUCAAUUAGUUGUUGGGGAUUCAUUUCCUUAGUAACGUAGCUAACGUGUGAAGUUGACCGCCU
rnacentral:rRNA from 1 species